UUUACGGAGGGUUUGAUCCUGGCUCAGGAUGAACGCUGGCGGCGUGCCUGAUACAUGCAAGUCGAACGGAUCGGCCUUCGGGCCGGUUAGUGGCGAACGGGUGAGUAACACGUGGGUAAUCUACCCCAAAGUGGGGAAUAACUGUCCGAAAGGGCGGCUAAUUCCGCAUGUGAUCCCGUGAGGGAUGAAAGGGGCGCAAGUCUCGCUUUGGGAUGAGCCCGCGGCCGAUUAGCUUGUUGGUGGGGUAACGGCCCACCAAGGCGACGAUCGGUAGCUGG
rnacentral:rRNA from 1 species